rnacentral:lncRNA from 1 species
ACAUACCGAUGCUGUCGGCGAUGGCUCUUAUAUAGACUUAUAGUCUCGCAUAUUGACCACGAGACCAGAGGCGGGGGCUCAGUGAAACACCUUUGCCCCGCCCAUUGGGGGAUUGAUUUUUAACGAGCAUGGACGCUCGAUGCGCCAUCAAUUCUUUUCGUAUUUUUUAUCCUCUCUCUUUGUCGACCCGCUUUAAUGCUGGUUGUAAAAAAUUAUGGAAAAACAAUUUUUAAUGGACUAAAUUGCUGCAAAAAUGGAUGCCAUGCGUCCGGCAUUAAAGGGGUUAAGAGUGCAUAAAAACAGAGAAUUAUUUCCGUUAAAUGCAUUGCAUAGUGCGGUUCGUUAAGGUCCUACUAUGGAUAUGUCCAUUGAGGGGAUUUGCAGUCGAACAAAUUGUACAUACAUAAGCGUAUGGAAAAAGAGGUUUUACUAAGCUAUGAUUAAAGUAUUCUCCUGCAUGGCUGACUCUUGAUCUCCCACACUGGCAUUAUACUCCCAGAAGUCCAUUCGCAGUCGCAACAGAAGCGAGCCCUGCCAAGAAUCAACAUGACACCGAGCCCACCCUAAUCCCUGGGCAAAGCCAAUCAAAUCUUAAAAUAACACACUAAACACUCAAAAAUUCCGCACAGAGAAGAGGAGCAGCAGCAGUCGCCCCCAAGAACUUUGUGUGGCCUAAGCCACUGGCUAACAUUUAAAUUCCCGGCUGGAGCGGCACUUUGUUGCUUUAAGCUGCAACAAGAACAUCCAUAGCUCUAAGUGGCAAAGUAAACAUGGCAUAGAUGUCGCAGUCGGUGCGGUAUCCCGGACACAUGAACGGAAAGUCCGCCCCAUGGAAAACUUUCUGGCGAAUGCCUCGCGGCCAAUAUGCAUAGACACACACACACACACGAGGAACUCCUGCUCCUGGUCCCCUGCUUGCCGGGUGUCCUGUUGUCCUGGUCUACGUGUUAAUUUGGUUCAGCGUAAUUGUAACUUGACAUGCAUGCACCGGAGGGUGGUGCCUUGUGGAGAACCCAAAACUGGAAAGUGUUUUAAUUGAAUUAUUUUCAUUGUCGCCCCAGCUCGAGCUGUUGCCUGCUGGCAUUAUUAACUUUUCUUGUUGCUACAAUUUAUGCAAACUUUCUAAAAAUAAAAAAAGAGCACCCGCUCACACAGAGAGAUACAACCAAACACACACAUACAGAUACAACUUGAACCCCAAGCAACAAAAAGUUAAAUGAGUUAAACGAGCAAUUUUAUGAGCAUGUCGAAAGUUUUGCGAAUGCCCCGAAAUACCAAGAAGAAAAAAAGCGACAACUGAAGCAUUCGAUUUGUGUCCGUGGAAUGAAAUGGAAGUUUAGCACGCGGUUUAGGCCGCGGGCUUUGCACAACAAAAUGGGGAUGGGGAUUGGUCAUCCUGCUCCUCCUUCUCAAUCUGGAGUUUAGUCGAGGUGUUGCUGUGGAGCAUCGAUUGAUUGCAGGCAUUUGCAGGAGAGGUUGUUGCUGUUAGAAAUCCAAUUAUCCGACAGCCAACACUUGACCCACAACUUUCCCCUCAAAUUCUGCUGCUGGCCAAUACCACAGUUAUGCCCAAAACUAUAAUCUCUCAACCCAGUUCUACUCCACCUCCACUCCACUUGCUCAUUCUUAUCGCAUCAGUCGGCAAACAUUUUCAAUUUCAAUAGCCUAACGAGUUGUUGUUCGGGCUGUUCUACUCUUUUCUCUACACUCCGAAGAAAACAACAGUUACUUCGUGUGGAUAUCAAAGGGACAAACGUCAAAUCACUAAUGUUUCCCUUGUUUUUUCUCAGUGUACAUGCCUUUGUGGCCCUGAGCAAAAGCGCAUAAAAAUGCUCGCCCCCAAAAAGGCCAAAUGCAAAUUCCGAAAUGCGGCCAAAAAGGCAACAAGGAAAUAAGCCAUUCACACUCUGGCUGAUACGGAAGCUGAUACGAGAGAAAGAGAGAGUGCAUGGAAUGGGGAAUCGUGUGAGGGAUAUACAUACAUGUACAAAUGUACACAUGUAUGUGUAUGUGUGGAUUCUAAUUCAAAGGCCAAACAGCAGCCACAAUGCCAACAUCCACAUCCACAUGCGGAGCAGAGCAGAAGAGUAGAGAAGAGAAUAAGAGCUGGUGGGAAAAAGAGAAGAAGAGAGCGGGUAAGGGAGAGGUUGCACGAUGUGCAAAAUGUUCUUAAUUCUCAAUUCAUAUGCAAAUUUAUUUUAUCGCCCGCUCUGGCUGCCGGCUGGCUGGAUAACCGUCCGCCCGACAGCCUCGAAUGGGUGCUGCUGCUGCUGCCUGCAACAACAAUGAAGGAUUGUGGCCAGAAUCCGAAGCGGAACACCCCAACUCACACAACCCAUUUCAAUCAUCCAUGUCAGUGUACAGGCUACAUUUAGGAGUCCAGGCCAGUCUCGUUCCGCUCCCGUUCGUACCGGCUCGUUAUUGCUUGUAACUGUGUAUUUGAUGGCCUGCUCCUGACUGCACCGCUUGAUAAUUGAUCGCCGGCAUUAAAAAUGUUCAGGAAAAC